GGGGUUCGCGUCCUUACUGCAGUCGACGAUGACCGCCUUCGGGCGGGGAUUAGUGGCGAACGGGUGAGUAACACGUGGGCAAUCUGCCCUGCACUCUGGGACAAGCCCUGGAAACGGGGUCUAAUACCGGAUACAACCACUUCGGGCAUCCGAUGGUGGUGGAAAGCUCCGGCGGUGCAGGAUGAGCCCGCGGCCUAUCAGCUUGUUGRUSMGGUMWCGSMUCACCAAGGGCGGAACGACGGKUAGSCSGCCUUGAGAGGKCGAACCGGCCACAACUGGGACUGAGACACGGMCCAGACUCCUACGGGAGGCAGCAGUGGGGAAUAUUGCACAAUGGGCGCAAGCCUGAUGCAGCGACGCCGCGUGAGGGAUGACGGCCUUCGGGUUGUAAACCUCUUUUCAGCAGGGAAGAAGCGCAAGUGACGGUACCUGCAGAAGAAGCGCCGGCUAACUACGUGCCAGCAGCCGCGGUAAUACGUAGGGCGCGAGCGUUGUCCGGAAUUAUUGGGCGUAAAGAGCUCGUAGGCGGCUUGUCGCGUCGGUUGUGAAAGCCCGGGGCUUAACCCCGGGUCUGCAGUCGAUACGGGCAGGCUAGAGUUCGGUAGGGGAGAUCGGAAUUCCUGGUGUAGCGGUGAAAUGCGCAGAUAUCAGGAGGAACACCGGUGGCGAAGGCGGAUCUCUGGGCCGAUACUGACGCUGAGGAGCGAAAGCGUGGGGAGCGAACAGGAUUAGAUACCCUGGUAGUCCACGCCGUAAACGGUGGGCACUAGGUGUGGGCGACAUUCCACGUCGUCCGUGCCGCAGCUAACGCAUUAAGUGCCCCGCCUGGGGAGUACGGCCGCAAGGCUAAAACUCAAAGGAAUUGACGGGGGGCCCGCACAAGCGGCGGAGCAUGUGGCUUAAUUCGACGCAACGCGAAGAACCUUACCAAGGCUUGACAUACACCGGAAAACCCUGGAGACAGGGUCCCCCUUGUGGUCGGUGUACAGGUGGUGCAUGGCUGUCGUCAGCUCGUGUCGUGAGAUGUUGGGUUAAGUCCCGCAACGAGCGCAACCCUUGUCCCGUGUUUGCCAGCAAGCCCCUUCGGGGGUGUUGGGGACUCACGGGAGACCGCCGGGGGUCAACUCGGAGGRASGUGGGGACGACGUCAAGUCAUCAUGSCCCUUAUGGUCUUGGGCCUGCACACGAUGACUUACCAAUGGCCGGUUACMAURAKYUKCGAUACCGCGAGGUGGAGCGAAUCUCAAAAAGCCGGUCUCAGUUCGGAUUGGGGUCUGCAACUCGACCCCAUGAAGUCGGAGUCGCUAGUAAUCGCAGAUCAGCAUUGCUGCGGUGAAUACGUUCCCGGGCCUUGUACACACCGCCCGUCACGUCACGAAAGUCGGUAACACCCGAAGCCGGUGGCCCAACCCCUGUGGAGGGAGCGACAAACGUAUCC
rnacentral:rRNA from 1 species